GCGGGCGAGGGUCGUCCUGACUUCAGGCCUGUUCGCCGAGUGAGUUCUGCUCUGUUCCCGGCGCUUCCCGGCAUUUCCUGGCCUGGGAGUUUCCCGGCGGGUCGUCAGGCAGGGGUCUUGCCCGUGAGCUGCGCAGGUGGUGUUCACAGUGUGGGGGAAAACACGCCAGGCCCCUCGCAACGAGAGAUUUUGCACUCCGACUGAAUGGGAAGCUGUUUCCUGCAGAGGACACCUCAGCUUUGGGAGCAAUGAUGGGAAGACCGAGCACAGUGUGUGGAAGACCCUGCUUGAACAGCACGGCGAUGGUGUAACGGACACGGUGAAUUUUUAAGAGAGUCCUUUUGGCUUUGGGUACAAGUAACGCACCCGUUUGUUUUUGAGGGGUUUCACCACCAAGAUUGGAGCCCCUGCCCGGCAGGAGAUGGCUGCGUUCCCUUUUACAUUCUCUGACCCUUGUUCCCAAAGACACGGCUGAAAGAAA